GACGAACCGUGCAAACGUUGUUCGGAAUCACUGGGCGUAAAGGGCGCGUAGGCGGCUUUUCAAGCGUGCGGUGAAAGCUCGGGGCUUAACUCCGAGUCUGCCGUGCGAACUGGGAGGCUUGAGUCUGGUAGAGGUCGAUGGAAUUCCGGGUGUAGCGGUGGAAUGCGUAGAGAUCCGGAAGAACACCGGUGGCGAAGGCGGUCGACUGGGCCAGUACUGACGCUGAGGCGCGACAGCGUGGGGAGCAAACAGG
rnacentral:rRNA from 1 species